CCAAGUGGUACGUGUUUAAUAUCGCCCGUGAAUGACGACAAACCAAUUUUAAAAACUCAAGAAAUGUGGGAAAGACGACUCUUGAAAUAUAUGGAUUUACACUCGGGAUUUACAAAGGUAAAAAAGUAUUUUCAUAUUCAAUUUAGACUUAUAUCUUAUUUGACAUCUAUUAUCAGACUAUUUUUAAAAGAGGGAAUUAGGUUUUGUGUUAUGCAGUCCACUUAUGUAUAAGCUGGCUGCUGGAAGCCGAUCUGGGAAGGUAGUUUCUACCUAGCUUUCUUGCAUGGUUGGGGAUACUUCUUCAUUUUUGUGUCAUAUAAAUCUCGAUAUAAAUAGUAAUAUAGAGGCUUGAGAUAAAUCACACUUCUCCCUAAGCUGAGGUAAUAAGGUUUAGCUGAGGUAUGUGCCAAGGCAUACAUGUGUGAUCACACCUCAUUCCCAUGAUGGCCUGUUUUCUUACAAGUUUUCUCAGUAAAUAUCACUCUGAAUAAAUAAUGUACUUUUAUAUUAAGUACACUCAUAGUUCUGAUACCCCUGGUUUAAGCUGAGGAGUAUGUUAGGUCACAUUCUUUUGUUUACCUUGAUCAUACGCUAUAAUUAUGUUACUGGUGGAUUCUUGUACAACCUGUAUAAUUCAUCUAUUCUUUUUUAUUGCAGAUUUAUUCCACAAGCACACACUCCUUUCUGGGUGGCAAAAUACGGUACCAAGCCACAUCUUUGGAAACUGAACAUACUGUAUUUUACAUGCUUCCAGAAAUUAUGUCACC
rnacentral:lncRNA from 1 species